rnacentral:rRNA from 1 species
AUUGAACGCUGGCGGCAUGCUUUACACAUGCAAGUCGAACGGCAGCGCGGGCUUCGGCCUGGCGGCGAGUGGCGAACGGGUGAGUAAUACAUCGGAACGUGCCCAGUAGUUGGGGAUAGCUCGGCGAAAGCCGGAUUAAUACCGCAUACGACCUGAGGGUGAAAGCGGGGGAUCUUCGGACCUCGCGCGAUUUGAGCGGCCGAUGGCGGAUUAGCUAGUUGGUUGGGUAAAGGCCUACCAAGGCGACGAUCUGUAGCUGGUCUGAGAGGACGACCAGCCACACUGGGACUGAGACACGGCCCAGACUCCUACGGGAGGCAGCAGUGGGGAAUUUUGGGCAAUGGGCGAAAGCCUGAUCCAGCAAUGCCGCGUGUGUGAUGAAGGCCUUCGGGUUGUAAAGCACUUUUGGCGGGAACGAAAAGGACUGUGCCAAUACCACGGUUCGAUGACGGUACCCGCAGAAUAAGCACCGGCUAACUACGUG